UUUAUUGUGCUGAGGCAUUAUCAUAGCCCAUGAAGUUCUACUGAGAUGUGAUUAUUGCUGGUUGAAAACUUAACCCAAUUCCCGCCUAGAUGACUUGAAAUAUAGUCAGUAACUUUAUUUA
rnacentral:snRNA from 1 species